rnacentral:rRNA from 1 species
AUGCGGGGACCUGGCGCCGCGGUGGCUUGGCGAGGCGGACGAGCUCUAGGACAAGCGCGUGGAGCAGAGCAGCAGGGACCCGGGGUCUACCGCAGGAGGUCGGGGCAUGGUCGUGGCAUGGAGGAGGAGCAGCAACUCGGAUCUGGAGGAAGGCCAUGGCAGAGGCGGUCCAGUGAGGUUGGCAAGGCUCCGGUGGAGCUGCUCGCUGGCGGCGGCCAGAGGCAGAGGCGGGGCGAUCCAGCGAUGGAGAGGGAGGCGCAAGGAAGGAGGGGCCAACGCAGGAUCCGGGCAGCAGAGGGAGGAGGGCCACGGAUCGGGAGGAGCAGUGCUGAGGCGGCGCUGGAGGGAGAUCGAGAGGGAGGAGGGGUCGAUGGAGAAAGGGUUCAAGGGAGAUGGCUCCUGGAGGCGGUGAGGGAACAAGGGAAGGAGGGAGUAGCGAUGCGGGAGGGGUUAGGGUAA